rnacentral:rRNA from 1 species
UACGGAGGGUGCAAGCGUUAAUCGGAAUCACUGGGCGUAAAGCGCACGUAGGCGGCGUCUUAAGUCAGUGGUGAAAUCCUGGAGCUCAACUCCAGAACUGCCUCUGAUACUGAGAUGCUUGAGUCCGGGAGAGGUGAGUGGAACUGCGAGUGUAGAGGUGAAAUUCGUAGAUAUUCGCAAGAACACCAGUGGCGAAGGCGGCUCACUGGCCCGGUACUGACGCUGAGGUGCGAAAGCGUGGGGAGCAAACAGG